rnacentral:rRNA from 1 species
GUGGGGAAUUUUGGACAAUGGGCGCAAGCCUGAUCCAGCAAUGCCGCGUGCAGGAAGAAGGCCUUCGGGUUGUAAACUGCUUUUGUACGGAACGAAACGGUCCUGGUUAAUACCCGGGGCUAAUGACGGUACCGUAAGAAUAAGCACCGGCUAACUACGUGCCAGCAGCCGCGGUAAUACGUAGGGUGCAAGCGUUAAUCGGAAUUACUGGGCGUAAAGCGUGCGCAGGCGGUGCUGUAAGACAGGCGUGAAAUCCCCGGUCUUAACCUGGGAAUUGCGCUUGUGACUGCAGUGCUGGAGUGCGGCAGAGGGGGAUGGAAUUCCGCGUGUAGCAGUGAAAUGCGUAGAUAUGCGGAGGAACACCGAUGGCGAAGGCAAUCCCCUGGGCCUGCACUGACGCUCAUGCACGAAAGCGUGGGGAGCAAACAGGAUUAGAAACCCCUGUAGUCC